GACGAACGCUGGCGGCGUGCUUAACACAUGCAAGUCGAACGAAGUGGCGAAAGGGUGAGUAACGCGUAAUCAACCUGCCCUUCAGAGGGGGACAACAGUUGGAAACGACUGCUAAUACCGCAUAAUGCAGGAGGGGAUUGUGUCUGAUUAGCUGGUUGGAGGGGUAACGUCCCAACAAGGCGAAGAUCAGUAGCCGGGCGGAGAGUAUGAACUGCUAAAUUGGGACUGAGACACGGCCCAGACUACUACGGUGUGGAGCAGUGGGGAAUCUUCCGACAUGGACGAAAGUCUGACGGAGCAACGCCGGGUGAGUGAUGACGGCCUUCGGGUUGUAAAGCUCUGUUAAUCGGGACGCGGUACCGGAAUAGAAAGCCACGGCUAACUACGUGCCAGCAGCCGCGGUAAUAC
rnacentral:rRNA from 1 species